UACGUAGGGGGCAAGCGUUGUCCGGAAUCAUUGGGCGUAAAGCGCGUGUAGGCGGCCAGGUAAGUCCGUUCUGAAAGCCCGGGGCUCAACCCCGGGAGGCGGAUGGAUACUGCUUGGCUCGAGUCCGGAAGAGGCGAGUGGAAUUCCCGGUGUAGCGGUGAAAUGCGCAGAUAUCGGGAGGAACACCGAUGGCGAAGGCAGAUCUCUGGGCCGUAACUGACGCUGAGGAGCGAAAGCAUGGGGAGCGAACAGG
rnacentral:rRNA from 1 species